UUAAUAUUAUUUAUUAAUUUAUUUUAGCAUUAUUAUUAUUAUUAUUUUAAUAAAAUUGGUCGAAAUGCGCACUGGAGGAAGUCCUGUGACCACAGGGGUGUGUGACGGGGCCGCGUGGGCCCGGCCCCGCAGGGGGAGGAAGCAGUGCUGGGCAAGAGGCUGACCCAGAGGGCGCGGGGUCGGUGCCGGCCGCGGCUCGUGGGGCUCACGGAAACAAUGCUUAUUUAAAUAAUGAACAAUUCGUCUAUGGAGCUUUUGAAGAAUGUAAAUAUAUUCAAAUGACAUAAAAAACUUCUGAAGUGGAAACUCCGAGGGUUAUUCAGAGCUCAUUCGCCCUCUCUGCCCCAUGCAGAGAUCCACAGAAUAUUCUGAAUUGGAAGGCACCACAAGGAUCAUCAAAGCCCAACUCCUGGCCCUGCACAGCACAGCCUCAAGAAUCACAAAUUCUAGAAGCCAUGUUGGAAACAAAGUUAUUAAACCUCUGCUUUGGAUCUUUGGUUGUUUA
rnacentral:lncRNA from 1 species